AAAAUUUUAACUUCUUUUCUAUAGAAUUGUUUUUCAAAGUAUUUUUUUAAACACUACUAAAAAGCCCAACUCACCGCGUUUCAAAAAAAUAUCUAAGCUCAAACCCUAUUCCACCCCGCAGUCGCCGACAUUCGUGAUAAUGCUUGUCCAUAUUGUUUGUGUUUCUGCUUCUCUUGGCUCUCAAUAAUGAACUAAUGACACUGGAUUUUCCAACUAUCAGCAUGUUUCAACCUUCAGCUACUCAUUUUUGCCCAAAACAUCAUCCUUUUUAUUUGCAUUGAGCAAAUUUGUAGUGUUCUUUUCAGUAGUUGGAAGAAAUUUGAUAAGAAACAGUUUGGCAGACUUGAAGCAUUCCGUUACUUUUAUGAACUGUUUAAACGGAAAGCUCUGUUGUGCUACCCUGCUGUUCCGAAGACGGUGGGAGGAAGAUUACUAAUGGAAAACAGAUGCAGUGUUGUCUUCAACUUGUUUGGGCUUUGUUUUGUUGAUGUAAAACUUUAGAACAAAAAGUGAAUUUGCUUUUUUCAACUUUCUAUUGGUUAACUUAAGCUAUGAGUACUAUGCUGGAACUGCAAUUUCCACAUUUGGCAAAAUUUAGUGUUCUUUUAUUUAAUUAAUCCCCUCAAAUCAUGUCAAUAACAAUUCUAUGGCUGUUGGCAAGAAGUUGGAAUUUGUGAAAGAUAA